AGGGUAAACCACACAAGCGAAAGGACUUCGUUUGUUGUACUAAUGGAAAGAAAGAAGGACAAGAAUCUAAUUGAUUUCUAGAAAGAUGUGCAUUGGUCGAAUAAAAAAGGGAGAUUUAUCACACCAACUACAGAAGAUAAUUAUAAUCAGAUGGUUUAGUUGAUGAAUGCCAAAGACCCAGACGCUCGCACAGAUGAAGCAGUAGCAACCAUAUUUAGGGAGGUAUUGAGACAUAGGUCAGGGUAUAACAGAGGGCUGGGCCACUCUGUUAUGCCCGAAUCUACUAAAGUGGGUGGAGUAUCAAAUGAGGACUAUGAACGGGUUGCUGAGGAGAAUGAAGCAAAUAUGAAAAAUGCUGAGUAUUACCAAAAUCGGGUUGAAGAGAUUGAAGGUGGUUUCAGGAUGAUGAGGGAGCAUAUGCGGGAUUAUGAGGAACGUGUAAACAUGAGAAUGUGAAAAGUGGAGAUAGAGAUAGAGUCUAAGAGAAAGA